GACGAACGCCGGCGGCGUGCUUAACACAUGCAAGUCGAACGGAAAGGCCUGCUUUCCCUUGUGGAUUGCGGGUACUCGAGUGGCGAACGGGUGAGUAACACGUGAGUGAUCUGCCCCCAACUUGGGUAUAAGCCUGGGAAACUGGGUCUAAUUCCCGAUAGGACUGCAGGGUGGUGCCUGUGGUGGAAAACGAUUUUCUAGUGGUUGGGGAUGAGCUCGCGGCCUAUCAGCUUGUUGGUGGGGUAAUGGCCUACCAAGGCGGCGACGGGUAGCCGGCCUGAGAGGGUGGACGGCCACAUUGGGACUGAGGUACGGCCCAGACUCCUACGGGAGGCAGCAGUGGGGAAUAUUGCACAAUGGGCGGAAGCCUGAUGCAGCGACGCCGCGUGGGGGAUGACGGCCUUCGGGUUGUAAACUCCUUUCGACCGCGAGGAAGCCACCUGGUUGGAAGGGUGGUGACGGUAGUGGUAGAAGAAGCACCGGCUAACUACGUG
rnacentral:rRNA from 1 species